rnacentral:rRNA from 1 species
UACGUAGGGUGCGAGCGUUGUCCGGAAUUAUUGGGCGUAAAGAGCGUGUAGGCGGCCCGGUAAGUCCGCCGUGAAAAUCCAGGGCUCAACCCUGGAAUGCCGGUGGAAACUGCCGGGCUGGAGUCCGGAAGAGGCGAGUGGAAUUCCUGGUGUAGCGGUGAAAUGCGCAGAUAUCAGGAGGAACACCAAUGGCGAAGGCAGCUCGCUGGGACGGUACUGACGCUGAGACGCGAAAGCGUGGGGAGCAAACAGG